CACGUAGGGCGCAAGCGUUGUCCGGAUUUAUUGGGCGUAAAGAGCUCGUAGGCGGCUCAGUAAGUCAGGUGUGAAACCUCCAGGCUCAACCUGGAGACGCCACCUGAUACUGCUGUGGCUAGAGUCCGGUAGGGGAGCGUGGAAUUCCUGGUGUAGCGGUGAAAUGCGCAGAUAUCAGGAGGAACACCAGCGGCGAAGGCGGCGCUCUGGGCCGGAACUGACGCUGAGGAGCGAAAGCGUGGGUAGCAAACAGG
rnacentral:rRNA from 1 species